rnacentral:tRNA from 1 species
GGAGAGGUGGGUGAGUGGUUGAUACCAGCUGGUUGCUAACUAGCCGUAGUUUAACGACUACCGAGAGUUCGAAUCUCUCUCUCUCCGCCA